UACAGAGGUGGCAAGCGUUGUCCGGAAUUAUUGGGCGUAAAGAGCUCGUAGGCGGUGUGUCGCGUCGGCCGUGAAAACCUGCAGCUUAACUGUGGGCUUGCGGUCGAUACGGGCAUCACUGGAGUUCGGCAGGGGAGACUGGAAUUCCUGGUGUAGCGGUGAAAUGCGCAGAUAUCAGGAGGAACACCGGUGGCGAAGGCGGGUCUCUGGGCCGAUACUGACGCUGAGGAGCGAAAGCGUGGGGAGCGAACAGG
rnacentral:rRNA from 1 species